AACAGGUACUAAUUACCUGAAUACAUAGGGUUUUUAGAGCAAACCCGGGGAACUGAAACAUCUAAGUACCCGGAGGAAAGGACAUCAAUAGAGACUCCGUUAGUAGUGGCGAGCGAACGCGGAUCAGCCGAUCUGAGGAAAGUGACCAGAAUGCACUGGAAAGUGCAGCCAUAGUGGGUGACAGCCCCGUAUGGGAAGCUCAAUCAGACAUAUUAAGUAGGGCGGGACACGUGAAAUCCUGUCUGAAGAUCGGAGGACCACCUCCGAAGGCUAAGUACUCCUUACUGACCGAUAGCGAACCAGUACCGUGAGGGAAAGGUGAAAAGCACCCCGACGAGGGGAGUGAAACAGUACCUGAAACCGGACGCCUACAAGCAGUCGGAGGAGCCUUGAGCUCUGACGGCGUACCUUUUGUAUAAUGGGUCAACGACUUGGUCUGUCGAGCAAGCUUAAGCCGUUAGGUGUAGGCGCAGCGAAAGCGAGUCUUAAUAGGGCGCAGAGUUCGGCGGAUCAGACCCGAAACCAGGUGAUCUAGCCAUGAGCAGGAUGAAGGUAAGGUAACACUUACUGGAGGUCCGAACCAACACCCGUUGAAAAGGGUCUGGAUGACUUGUGGCUAGGGGUGAAAGGCUAAUCAAACCUGGAGAUAGCUGGUUCUCCGCGAAAGCUAUUUAGGUAGCGCCUCGGACGAAUACCAUCGGGGGUAGAGCACUGGAUGGGCAAUGGGGUCCCACAGACUUACUGAGCCUAACCAAACUCCGAAUACCGAUGAGUAAUAUCCGGGAGACACACGGCGGGUGCUAACGUCCGUCGUGAAGAGGGAAACAACCCUGACCUGCAGCUAAGGCCCCUAAUUCAUGGCUAAGUGGGAAAGCAUGUGGGACGGCCAAAACAACCAGGAGGUUGGCUUAGAAGCAGCCAUCCUUUAAAGAUAGCGUAACAGCUCACUGGUCUAGAUAAGCUGUCCUGCGGCGAAGAUGUAUCGGGGCUCAAGCCAUGAGCCGAAGCUCGGGAUGCACAGCGAUGUGCGUGGUAGCGGAGCGUUCUGUGAUAGAGCUCCAUGUCUCUUGCUGCCUUACUCGUAAGGCAGCGCGGAGACGCGGAGCUUUCUGUGAAGCCGGGCCGUAAGGCAUCCGGUGGAGAGAUCAGAAGCGAGAAUGUUGACAUGAGUAGCGACAAAGAGGGUGAGAGACCCUCUCGCCGAAAGUCCAAGGGUUCCUGCUUAAAGCUAAUCUGAGCAGGGUAAGCCGGCCCCUAAGGCGAGGCCGAAAGGCGUAGUCGAUGGGAACAGGGUUAAUAUUCCCUGGCCAGGAGGAUGUGACGGAUCUCAAAGAUUGU
rnacentral:rRNA from 1 species